AGACUGGAGGAGGUUGGGCCUCCAUCGGUGAGGUCUGGUAGCAGGGUCUCCAUCGGUGAGGUCUGGUAGCAGGGUCUCCAUCGGUGAGGUCUGGUAGCAGGGUCUCCAUCGGUGAGGUCUGGUAGCAGGGUCUCCAUCGGUGAGGUCUGGUAGCAGGGUCUCCAUCGGUGAGGUCUGGUAGCAGGGUCUCCAUCGGUGAGGUCUGGUAGCAGGGUCUCCAUCGGUGAGGUCUGGUAGCAGGGUCUCCAUCGGUGAGGUCUGGUAGCAGGGUCUCCAUCGGUGAGGUCUGGUAGCAGGGUCUCCAUCGGUGAGGUCUGGUAGCAGGGUCUCCAUCGGUGAGGUCUGGUAGCAGGGUCUCCAUCGGUGAGGUCUGGUAGCAGGGUCUCCAUCGGUGAGGUCUGGUAGCAGGGUCUCCUUUCCUGUGGAAGUAGGAACAUCUUUAGAAACCGGAACUGGGCUAUAAAAAGGUCCAACAAUUAUGGAAUAGAACAAAAUAAAAUCAAAAUGACCAAAAAAAGACUAUAAACAGACAAUAUGACAAUCACUGACUGGCAUUCAAACCGUGGCCAACUAUGUUUUGCUCACAGACCUCCCCCAUAUCCAUCUGUAUGUAUAAGACUGGGAGGGUGUUACUAUCUCUGUACAGAGAACUGAGAAGACAACUCUGGUUCCAUUAGCUUUACCUUAGCAGCAGAGGAAACUUUGGAAACCACCUUGGACAUGACAGGAUGUCCUGGAGACUCUAUGAGUAACAAAUGCAAAAAAAUAAAGUGAAUUAUGAAGAGAUGUCUCACUGCACAAUCAAUGGGCGUAUCUCUACUGCUGUAAUCCAACCAAAACAUAUCUGGGGAGAGAUAUUGUAGUGUAUAGUAGUUACAUUUCUCAAUAAAUCUUACAAAACAGAAAAACGAAUUUAAGUGAAUCAUUGGCUCCUGAAAGCAACUCCAAACUGGUUCCUCUCCCAAGCUUGUUGUUCAGAGUAUCCAUGAAGAGUCUGAUUUGCUUGCGAAGGGAACCUAUACAUACUUUUGACCUCUCGAGGGCACUAUA